CGUUAAAAUUUUUUUAUCAAUUUCCAAUAUCAAAAACUAGUAUGACUGACGGGAUAACCAGACAGUUAUACAUGACAUGCCACGUGUACCUCAUACUGACAUAUAGGGACUAGUUAUUAACAAUAGAAUUAGAUGAAAUUUUUAACA
rnacentral:pre_miRNA from 1 species